CACCGCGCACGUUGCGUUUUGCUGGUGUUGGUGCUUUUUGCCAGAAAUGAAAGUUGCUCAAAGUUGUUCCGACCGCAUACGAGCAAACGGCACGACCGCGCGAGCCAGCCGUGAGCUCGAAGCACUCGAAGCAUUCGAGGCUUCCCCCGUCGCUGGCCUGUCCGUGACUGCGUUCGCUCGUUCGUCUCGCGUGCUGCUACUUCUAGUGCUCAGCCGCAAUCCGCUAAAUUCGGCCACCAUGGCGACGUCGACCGUCGACGGCGGCUCGCGCAUUUACACCGCUCACAUUUAACAACUAUUCCGACAAUUCCAACGUGCGCGGAUACGGAUAUUCAUCACCGGCCACAACGAGCACAUAAUAUAUUCGUUAUACAAGUAGUGCCAUCGGAAGUGACUUAAGUCAAGUCAAGAAUAACGCAGUGCAGUGCAAAUCUUAAGCAAAGCAAAGCAAUUCAAUGUGUGAACAACUUUAUUAAAUAAUAACUGAGGAGACUUUAUCGGUGACACCUGUUUGAUCAAUAUAUCAAUGUUUGCAUUUAUUACUGUGAAACGUGUGUAAAGUGUUGAGUGCAUCGUGUGUACCUGUUGUGCUGUGUUCUCUGUUUGCGUCCCCGGUACCCCGGAAUAUCCUCCUACCUGCCUGCACAACACAAAGGAAGCCACACCAGAUCCGCUGCAAACGAGGAACAACAAAUGAGUCGCGCUUAAAACAAACGACAAUUGACGGGGGACAACAUCUCUUGGAAGUAAAAUGACCAGCGGUUUGCUGCGUUUUCGUCGGCAUUGGGUGCACACCUUCUCGCUUGUGCUACUUUUCUAUUAUGUAAAGCAAUGUUUGGGCGCAGAAUUAGUUAUCCACAUUCCAGGCAACUUGAAUCAAGAUGGCGUCGUGUAUCGCCUUGAUUAUUAUCCGCCAUUCGGCUAUCCAGAGCCGAAUACAACAAUCGCGUCGAAGGAUAUCCACGACGUGAUUAAAUUCUCGCAGGGUCUGCCCGGUACCAAGUAUGACUUCUGGCUGUAUUCCUCGAAUCUGACACAUAAUACGCUCACAUGGACGGCAAAUUUUACAACAGUACCUGAUCCACCUUCGAAUCUCUCCGUCGCUGUACGUAAUGGUAAGACAGCCGCAAUCUCAUGGAGUCCACCAUCUCAAGGAAGCUACUCUACGUUCAAGUUGAGAAUAAAUGCUCUCUCCACCGCCCUGGAGCCUAAACCACAAACGAUUAUCGUGGACAAUGUUGAAACGUCGCCGCAUAUUCUGCGGGAUUUAACACCUGGUGCCACGUAUCAAGUUCAAGCGUACACUGUUUUCGAAAACAAGGAAAGCGCUGCUUAUACAUCGAGGAACUUUACAACCAAACCAAAUACUCCUGGUAAAUUUAUCGUAUGGUUUAGAAAUGAAACCACAUUAUUAGUAUUGUGGCAACCACCAUACCCACCAGCAAUUUAUACUCAUUACAAGGUGUCCAUUGACCCACCAGAUGCAAUUGAGAGUGUUUUAUAUGUGGAGAAAGAGGGAGAACCGCCUGGGCCUGCUCAGGCUGCAUUUAAAGGACUUGUUCCUGGCAGGGCUUAUAAUAUUUCCGUCCAGACUAUGUCGGAAGAUGAAACGUCAACUCCAACAACCGCUCAGUAUCGAACAGUGCCAGUGAGACCUUUAAAUAUCACAUUUGAUAAGACUUCAGUGACAUCCAAUUCGUUUAUUGUAAAUUGGGAACCACCAAGUGGUAGAAGCGAGUUUGACAAGUAUCAAAUAUCCUUGGGUUCCGUUCGUAAACAGCCUGCUGUUAGUAGGCUCAGAGAGGAACCCACAUGGUGGAAAUUUAAAGAUAAUCUCGAACCUGGCAAGACUUACCAGGUUGUGGUGAAGACCGUUUCAGGGAAGGUUACAUCAUGGCCUACGUCUGCAGAUGUUACUCUCAAACCUUUACCUGUGGUUAAUCUCAAGGCAGAAACUGAAGAAUCUCUAAAUGUUGUCAAUGUGCAUUGGAUAUCCAACCCGAAUAGCUUCCAGGAAUCUUACGGGGUUUCUUAUCAUGAAGUUGAGAGCUCCGCUGGUGAUUCCAAUACAGUGACGACCAAUGAAACGAAAAUUACGUUAGAUGCGCUACUUCCGGGAAGAAACUAUUCGAUUGCGGUGUCGGCAAUAUCGAAGAAAGUUGAAUCCAAUGAAAGUUUUCUAUUUGUUUUAACCAGACCCAGUGCACCAAUCAUAGAAGACCUUAAACCACUGGUGGAUGGUCUUAACAUCAGUUGGAAGUCAGAUGUUAAUUCCAGACAAGAUAAAUAUGAAGUUGAGUGUGUCAGAAAUGAUACUCUAGAUAAUCUUAUCAAGACAACUUAUGAGUCACGAAUUGUAUUAAAGGACUUGUAUCCUGGUGCUGGGUACAUGGUUAAGGUAUUUGCCAUUUCUCAUGGAUUGAAGAGUGAACCUCAUGAAUACUUCCAACCUGUUUUUCCAAGACCACCUCGAAAUAUGACUAUUGAGAAGACCACAACGAAUUCGGUGAUUGUACAGUGGCAAGCUCCUGUGGAUUCAUUGAUUACAGAAUAUGCCAUUCGUUAUCGGACAGAUUCCGAGGGCACUUGGGUAAAAUUACCGGGUGUAAACAAUACCGAAGCGGAAGUGACUGAUAUGACACCCGGCGAAAGGUAUACCAUUCAGGUUAACACAGUCAGUUAUGGUCUGGAGAGUAAUGAACCUCAGCAGUUAAACCACACAGUCAGACCCAAUCCAGUAUCCAAUAUUGCUCCGCUGGUCGAUUCCAAUAAUGUGACUUUGGAAUGGCCACGACCUGAAGGUCGAGUAGAAACUUACAUAGUUCGCUGGUGGGAGAGCGCUCAACCCUCGCUAAUUAACAAACGCAACGUCUCGCAAAAUAAUAACUCCUCGGGACCCAUUCGGUUGCUCGUUGGGGACCUCAUGCCCGGCGUGGAGUAUGAGUUUGACAUACAGGCUAUCAGCAAUGACCUGGAAAGUGAUGUAACCCAAUUGAAAACACGAACAAUGCCUCUGAUACAAUCGGAACUUGUAGUGGUCAAUAAUCAACAAACUUCAGACUCUAUCAGUUUGAGAUACACCCCUACACCAGCAGACUCCUCGAAGUUUGAUCUUUAUAGAUUUUCCCUCUCAGAACCAUCGAUAGCGGAACAAGAAAAGGCUGCGAAUGAUUCGGAUAGGCUUGUGACAUUCACCGGGUUAAUACCCGGUCGUUUAUACAAUAUUACCGUGUGGACAGUGUCGCAGAACGUUCCGAGUCAACCACUCCAACGGCAGGACCGUUUGUAUCCGGAACAGAUUGCCGGCAUCAACGCGACGUAUAUUUCCGACACCGAGAUCACACUCUCGUGGGAGUCGCCACGCGGUGAAUUCAACGCCUUUGAGGUCCAGUAUUUGACAGCGGAUAACGUUUACAUUCAGAACCUGACCUUGUUUAAUUCCAUUACAAUCAUCGAUUUGAAACCUCAUCGAAACUACACUUUUACUGUGGUUGUAAGGAGCGGUACAGAAUCAAGUAUACUGAGACGUUCACUACCUGUGUCUGCUAUCUUCACUACAAAAGAAUCUGUUCCCGGAAAGGUUGAAAAGUUCUUCGCUACGGAUAUUCAACCAAGUGACAUAACAUUCAAAUGGAUUCUACCGUCAACUGAACAAAAUGGCGUCAUCCGGAAAUUCACCAUUACGUAUGGUCUUGAUAGAUCUACGAAUACAUUAUUCAAAGAUUUUGGCCCUGAUGAGUUCACUGGCGUAAUCCGACAAUUAAUUCCCGGUCGCACUUAUGUCUUCCGUAUACAGGCAGAGACCAAAGUUGGUUUUGGUCCAGAAACGACAGUUACACAGAAAAUGCCCAUUUUGGCACCUCCGCCACCCCGAGGAAUAGUUGUUCCCACCGAAGUGUGCAAAAGUUCGUCGACGAUACAAAUCCGCUUCCGGAAGAAUUAUUUCAGUGAGCAAAACGGACCUGUCGUGUCCUAUACGAUUAUAGUAGCUGAAGACGAUUCGAAGAACGCUUCAGGCUUGGAAAUGCCUUCAUGGCGCGAUGUUCAAGCAUACUCUGUAUGGCCGCCAUAUCAAAUUAUGGAACCUUAUUAUCCAUUCCAUAACAGUUCCGUCGAAGACUUUACAAUAGGUUCAGAAACCUGUGAUAUGCGGCAAACUGGAUAUUGUAAUGGUCCGCUCAAAUCUGGCUCGACCUAUAAGGUCAAGAUAAGAGCAUUCACUGCGCCCGAUAAGUUCACAGACACACAUUACAGUUUCCCAAUUCAAACAGACCAAAACAAUACGCCGAUUAUAUUGGGCAUCGUUAUACCGAUACUAGUAAUUGCGACGAUCCUCGUCAUACUGUUCAUUCGCAAGCGGCGGUCGCAAGGUCGGAAGGCGACCGAAAGUCGCAAUAACGACAACAUGUCAGUGCCUGAUUCGGUGAUCGAAACGAAUCGACCUAUUCGGAUUAACGCCUUUGCAAACCAUUAUAGAUUAAUGUCGGCCGAUUCAGAUUUCAGAUUUAGCGAAGAAUUUGAAGAAUUGAAACAUGUCGGCCGCGAACAAGCAUGCAGUUUUGCUGAUUUACCUUGCAAUCGGCCCAAAAACAGAUUUACAAAUAUUUUACCUUAUGACCAUUCAAGAUACAAACUACAGCCCGUUGAUGAUGAAGAAGGAUCAGAUUAUAUUAAUGCAAAUUAUGUACCUGGUCACAAUUCACCACGGGAAUUUAUAGUAACACAAGGACCUCUUCAUUCGACAAGGGACGAUUUUUGGCGAAUGUGUUGGGAGAGUAACUCGCGCGCCAUCAUAAUGUUGACGCGUUGUGUAGAAAAGGGAAGAGAAAAGUGCGACCAUUACUGGCCGUACGACACCAUGCCCGUUUACUACGGGGACAUUUCCGUCCAGAUUCUCAACGAGAGUCGAUAUCCUGAUUGGAAUAUUUCCGAAUUUAUGGUUUGUCGUGGUGAUACUCAACGUGUGAUAAGACAUUUCCACUUUACGACAUGGCCAGAUUUCGGCGUGCCAAAUCCCCCGCAUACUCUGGUACGAUUCGUACGCGCGUUUAGAGAAAGGGUUGGGUCUGAUCAACGGCCCAUUGUUGUACACUGCAGUGCGGGUGUCGGUCGUUCGGGGACAUUUAUAUGCCUAGACCGUAUUCUACAGCAAAUUCUGGUGUUUGACCAUGUGGACAUCUUUGCCAUAGUGUAUGCGAUGCGUAAAGAACGAGUAUGGAUGGUUCAAACUGAGCAGCAGUAUAUUUGUAUCCACCAGUGUUUGCUUGCGGUGCUAGAGGGCAAGGAGCUGAGCGGACCACCGCGUGAAAUUCACGAAAAUCAGGGAUUUGAAGGCAAAGGUGUAGGGAAUGGUGCGGUGAAUGAACCGAUGGGUCCUGGCGAGAAGGAGCGGUAACGCGUACAUACUACAUAUUCUUUCUUGUAUCAACUCCUUCCUCUAUUUGUACUCUAUUCGUAAACUGGGGCAGCACACACAUGUUUUGUGAUGAUGAGGGCAUUGCCGAAUCAGGCAUGUAGACAAAAUGUGAUCCAGAACAAAAGGAAUUGGAAUCUACAACUUCUUCUUUGAACAAGUUUAGAAUAUAGCAAUCUAUUUAUAUACAUACUUUAUUUAACACACCCUAGGAUGUUAGUUUAACUUGAAUGAUAUUUUUUUAUGUAUUGACAGUAAUACUCGUUUACUCGAUUGUUUUUAUUCUUUAACAACUCAUAAUGUGUUGUGUCGAAUAUGAUUUUGACGAUUUUUGUACAUACACAACAUAACUAAUGUAAUUUAGAGUUAACUCAAUAUGUAUAGGUAGUCAUUAAUUGUUUAUUUACUUUAUAAAUAUCUCUAUUUUUUGAUUUAUUCAGCAAUGAAAAGAUGAGUGUAAUGGUGGAAACAACAAAAUAAAGUAAUAUUUUUGUUAAAA